UCCUUUGGGCCCAACCUCCCAUCCGUGUCUAUUGUACCCUGUUGCUUCGGCGGGCCCGCCGCUUGUCGGCCGCCGGGGGGGCGCCUCUGCCCCCCGGGCCCGUGCCCGCCGGAGACCCCAACACGAACACUGUCUGAAAGCGUGCAGUCUGAGUUGAUUGAAUGCAAUCAGUUAAAACUUUCAACAAUGGAUCUCUUGGUUCCGGCAUCGAUGAAGAACGCAGCGAAAUGCGAUAACUAAUGUGAAUUGCAGAAUUCAGUGAAUCAUCGAGUCUUUGAACGCACAUUGCGCCCCCUGGUAUUCCGGGGGGCAUGCCUGUCCGAGCGUCAUUGCUGCCCUCAAGCCCGGGUUGUGUGUUGGGUCGCCGUCCCCCUCUCCGGGGGGACGGGCCCGAAAGGCAGCGGCGGCACCGCGUCCGAUCCUCGAGCGUAUGGGGCUUUGUCACAUGCUCUGUAGGAUUGGCCGGCGCCUGCCGACGUUUUCCAACCAUUCUUUCCAGGUUGACCUCGGAUCAGGUAGGGAUACCCGC
rnacentral:rRNA from 1 species